CAUGCGCAGUCUGGGAAUAGCGCCC
rnacentral:misc_RNA from 1 species